ensembl:lncRNA
UCCCCAUGAGCUGCAAAAUAUAAAAAAGUGACCUUUAAUCCUUAAUUUUUGUCGUACGUUCUCGCAGCCAAAUCAGGGGAACCAAAAGAUUGUCAACACGGUCAAGGUGGAUCAAGAUGAUCCCCAACAGGGUUCAUGCCCCUAAAUCAGUACACACAAAUAUCGAGUCAACAAUUACCAGGAAGUUCAUUUUAAGUGCAACCACAAAAACAUGUCAAACAAAUGGUUAUUUUUUUCCCAGCUGCACGAGUUGGAAGAAAUACCUUCUGUGGGGGGGGAUCGGAGAUCCUGACACUUCGCAAGACGUUAGCAAGAAGGUAGCAAGACGUUAGCAAGAAGGUAGCAAGACGUUAGCAAGAAGGUAGCCAGACGUUAGCAAGACGUUAGCAAGAAGGUAGCAAGACGUUAGCAAGAAGGUAGCAAGACGUUAGCAAGAAGGUAGCCAGACGUUAGCAAGACGUUAGCAAGACGUUAGCAAGAAGGUAGCAAGACGUUAGCAAGAAGGUAGCAAGACGUUAGCAAGAAGGUAGCAAGACGUUAGCAAGACGUUAGCAAUAAGGUAGCAAGUUAGAAUCCGUGAAUAAAGAAAUCCACAGUACCGUGUUGUAGGCCUGUUGUAGGGAGUGAUGGGAAUCCGCCCGUAGUGAAAGAGGUGAGCCGAGCAAAACACAUAAAAGGUUUUCGACAAAGAUGCCUCGGCAAAAAACAGAAAAUGACUUUGUGACUGCUGUAAGGGGGUCGAGGUGAGGUCCAGUGAUAAUAAACCUUGGGCUCCUCUAACUUUGCAGACACAUUUCACAGAAAUGAAGCUUAUCUGUACCAUGAGACCCUCGAGUGACUUCUGUCAUAACGCUUCCUAUGUGGUCUGGCGGUAAGGGUUCCCCCACCUGCAAAAUAACACGAUAACCCCCGGUUGUCACACCAGAUCGUAUCUCAAUUCCAUUCUCUCAAAUUAUAAGCAGG